rnacentral:rRNA from 1 species
AUUGAACGCUGGCGGCAUGCUUUACACAUGCAAGUCGAACGGGGUGGGGGGGCAACUCUCCAUUCAGUGGCGAACGGGAGAGUAAUGCAUCGGAACGUGUCCCGUAGGGGGGGAUAACGCCGCGAAAGCGGCGCUAAUACCGCAUACGCUCUACGGAGGAAAGCAGGGGACCCGCGAGGGCCUUGUGCUAGGGGGGCGGCCGAUGUCCGAUUAGCUUGUUGGUGGGGUAAUGGCCCACCAAGGCGACGAUCGGUAGCUGGUCUGAGAGGAUGAGCAGCCACACUGGGACUGAGACACGGCCCAGACUCCGACGGGAGGCAGCAGUGGGGAAUUUUGGACAAUGGGGGCAACCCUGAUCCAGCCAUGCCGCGUGCGGGAAGAAGGCCUUCGGGUUGUAAACCGCUUUUAGCCGGGACGAAAGCUCUACGGAUAACACCCGUGGGGGUUGACGGUACCGGCGGAAUAAGCACCGGCUAACUACGUGCCAGCCGCCGCCGUAAUAC